rnacentral:tRNA from 1 species
GGGGUGAUGGCUCAGCAGGUAAAAGCACUUGCUGUACAAGCAUGAAGGCUGGGGUUCAAAUCCCCAGCACCCAU